rnacentral:sRNA from 2 species
AAGGUUUGCAAAUGGAGUCCCGAAAGGAUUCACUUGAUGAAAAGAGUGGAGAAGCCUUGUAACCGAAAAGAUAAAGGGGGAACAAUAGAAUG